rnacentral:rRNA from 1 species
UACGAAGGGGGCUAGCGUUGUUCGGAUUUACUGGGCGUAAAGCGCACGUAGGCGGAUUGGUCAGUUAGGGGUGAAAUCCCAGAGCUCAACUCUGGAACUGCCUUUAAUACUGCCAGUCUCGAGUCCGGAAGAGGUAAGUGGAACUCCUAGUGUAGAGGUGAAAUUCGUAGAUAUUCGCAAGAACACCAGUGGCGAAGGCGGCUCACUGGCCCGGUACUGACGUUGAGGUGCGAAAGCGUGGGGAGCAAACAGG